GACGAACGCUGGCGGCGUGCUUAACACAUGCAAGUCGAGCGGAAAGGCCACUUCGGUGGUACUCGAGCGGCGAACGAGUGAGUAACACGUGAGUAAUCUGCCCCUCACUCAGGGAUAACCAUUGGAAACGGUGGCUAAUACCUGAUAUGACCACGUCUCGCAUGGGGUGUGGUGGAAAGCGUUUAGUGGUGAGGGAUGUGCUCGCGGCCUAUCAGCUUGUUGGUGAGGUAGUGGCUCACCAAGGCUUCGACGGGUAGCCGGCCUGAGAGGGUGACCGGCCACACUGGGACUGAGACACGGCCCAGACUCCUACGGGAGGCAGCAGUGGGGAAUAUUGGACAAUGGGCGAAAGCCUGAUCCAGCAACGCCGCGUGAGGGAUGACGGCCUUCGGGUUGUAAACCUCUUUCACCCAUGACGAAGCGCAAGUGACGGUAGUGGGAGAAGAAGGACCGGCCAACUACGUGCCAGCAGCCGCCGUAAGAC
rnacentral:rRNA from 1 species